CUUAAUUGUUAACAGGAAUAUCACAUACUUAAAUUCUUUAAAAAUAAAAUGCUUAUUUGGUAGAAUUAGCAUCCCAGAGGUUUAAUGUCCAUGAUCGAGUGUGACUCACGUGCUGGCUUGUCAUGUUUUGGAAUAUUUUUACAUAUCUACUGGAAUUCUUAAUCGCAGCAACAUCAAGAUGAACUGCGACUGAUCUCCACAAUUAUAGCCUCAUCAAUUGAUUGUGAUUGGACAUAUCAAGUUUAAUCAACACUUUCUAUGGUUCAAAAGACUGAUGCAACCUGUUGCAACUUCCAACUGCUAUCUGAAAAAUGGAUGUGCAAGUUGAAGGAGUACAAGAAGUUCUAAAGCAAGCAGGGAUGGAUGGCAUUUCUCAUUGCAAAUAAUUGGCUCUAAUUCUCAGAGAGGUGGGCCAAGCUCACAAACAUUAGAUUGCGCUCUUCAAACCCCAUAUAUUUGCUGUUUUCACAAUGGCUGGAUCAUGGAUUCCUUCUCUGCCUCAACAUACUCUUCUAAAAUUGCAGCACCUAGUUGUUGUUGGCAUGCCAAGUCUUUCUUCAUGUUUAGGAUGCCAAUGCUUAUAAGAGCUGUCAAGAAGGUGCUUAAAAAUAGGUCGGUUCACGUGGAGUCUAGGGUCCCGAGCAUACGAGAGAUUUUUUUAAAUAUUGGAAGACUCCCCGUUAUACUUUGAGUGAGAGUAUCAUUACUUUUUGCAAGAAGCCAGCUUCCUCCAUAAACUCUAAUGCAGCUAUACAUACUUAGCUGUCAGAACAUGAGGAAAUUGGUUUAGGAGAAGGAUGAUAAUACCAACAACAGUUGCAGCAACACCUCAUCUCUUCUUGAGCAAUUGUACAUCCAAGAUUGUCCAUCCCUUGAAUCCUUAACAUCAAGAAGAGAAUUAUCUGUAACACUUUGAAACCUCCGUAUUUUCAGUUGUCGAAAGUUGGAGUCAGUAGCGAAGAGUUUUCAUCAUAACUCUUAUAUAGUUAGAUAAUAUGAUAUAUGGCUAGUUUUGAUUCUUAUAAGCAUCGGAGUAGUUCUAGUACGAACUCUCUCCCUAAGCAUUAAACACUACUGUUUAUAUUGGUUCCUCAGCAAGUAAAGGGUGUAUUAUUAAUGUACAACAGAAUACUCAACACUUUUCUGGUAAGUUGGGAUUGGGGAAUUGCUCUUUGUUGAGUGGUCUUGCAAUGAUUCUUUUACCUAAAUAUUCUAGUAAAAAAAGGCUUGCUCUUAACUUCAAGAGAUUGAUGCUUGGGAUGACAACUACCUGAGAUACAGCAGGGUGAUAACAUCACCCAUCUCCUCUCUUUCAUCUAAUACCCUUGAAUUUUUGAGCUGUUGAAUUUUUGAGGAAGCUGGAACCAACUGGGUAAUCAAAAGUCCUUUGUUGGUUUGACUUUUGUUCUUUCGAUUCAUUUUGUCGACUAAUAAUGGAGCUUUAGAUUUGAAAGAACACAUAUGUUAAAUGGAAGAUACAUAAACAAUCACUUGUUCCAACAUUUAUUGUAGCUAUAUGUGCACAAAAACUCACUGUCUUUUCAUUUUACUUCUCUGUUUUUCCUUCAGAAGACUUCGAGGUAGGUGGUAUUCAUUU